AUAAUAUUCCAACUGUAAUGAGGUGGAUGACUCGAUAAUAUUCCAACUGUAACGAGGUGCAUGGCUCGAUAAUAUUCCAACUGUAACGAGGUGGAUGGCUCGAUAAUAGUCCAACUGUAACGAGGUGGAUGGCUCGAUAAUAGUCCAACUGUAACGAGGUGGAUGGCUCGAUAAUAGUCCAACUGUAACGAGGUGGAUGGCUCGAUAAUAGUCCAACUGUAACGAGGUGGAUGACUCGAUAAUAUUCCAACUGUAACGAGGUGGAUGGCUCGAUAAUAUUCCAACUGUAAUGAGGUGGAUG